CAGGCUACAGCACAAUAUUGAGAAAGGGAAGAAGAAUGGGACUGAGAGGCAUUUGGGCAUUUGGGAUUGUCAGUGCUAAACCAGAGAAAAUCCUGCUAAAACUGGGUUGAUAGGGAGGGACCCCCUCACUAUGUCUGUCCAGCUGGCUUUCAAAGGAUGUGUAUUGUCUGUCUCUACCAUGAUACAUGAGGGAAGGGACCUCUUUUGUCUUAUUCAUUCCUGUAUCUCCAGCAUCUACAACAUGAUAAGCCAUUACUUCUACGGAUCUCUUGGUUAAAUAAUGUAUUUGCACAAAGACAUGGUAAAUGUGCCGUGUAGGUUACUGGAUACACACCAGGUUAUCUGUCAGGCAGGGUACUGGUGAUUAAGAGCAAGGCUCAUAUAUGUACCCGCUAGCUGUGUGACACUGGCAAGUGACGUAAUGUCUCCUGCUUCUAUGUCCUCAUACAUAAGAUGAGAGUAGUAAUAACCACCCUCACAGUACUGUCAUGAGGACUAAAUGCGUUGCUACAUGUGACAUACUUAGGAAGGUUCCUGGCACAUAAUAAACAGAAUGUAAAUGUGAGCUCAUGAG